CCCUGCUCCUAAUUUUUCACCACCACCACAAGGCUGUGAGAAGGUUGGCUUGAGAGCAAUGGCCGAAGUCACUCAGUAAGCUUUUAUGGUUAAAGGUGGUCUUGACCCAGAGCAGGUUCUAAACCAUCACCAUCACCAUUACACCUCACUGCCUAAGAGGUUGCCUGAAAAGAAAGAAUCUUGGAAAGACAUUUUGUUACCUGACAAGUGAACAUCAUCAGUGCACCACUCCAAAGUGUGAGCUUUGCUCCCUGUUUAUAUAUAACAGCUUGCCUUGCCAAUGUUGCUGGAGUCUAGAAAGUGUUCUCCAAGCCACAGAAAAAUUAUACACAGUUGUUCAAGAAUAUAAAUCAUGUAUCCUGCUGGCACUGAAAAAUCCAAAUAACUAAUAAGAGCAUCCACCAGAUGGAAAAUAAUAUUGUUUGCUGUGGUUGAUGGAAUAUAUAACAGAAGAAAAAAUAAGAGAAGACAUGGGAUAACAUGUCGGUCAGGUAAAUUGUAUAGGAAGAAACAUCAAUAUGAUAGAGAUAGAUAGAAUUCUUUAUUGGCCAAGUGUGAUUGGACACACAAGGAAUUUGUCUUUGGUGCAUAUGCUCUCAGUGUACCUAAAAAGAAAAAACAAUACAUUCAUCAAGAAAGUAACACUUUCUUAAAGCAAGUAGCACCAAAACCAUGUGCAACACUCCAUCUCCACAAAAGUUGUGACACAUUUCUACAGGGUCUCCACCUUUCAGGAUCAAUAUUCAAAGCAAAAGAAGAAUCAGAAAACCACUUUUCCACUUUCCAUGGACAGGAAAGAAAAACCCAAUGUAUACAAGUACUGAGCAUACCUUUUCUGACAUGCUGAAGAGUAUAGUAGAGUAGAGAAAAAUAAACCAACCUGAAAAAGGAAAGGAUCUCAUAAGAACAGUUAUGUAGAGUUAAUUCAGUGAUCCUUCUGUCAUACUAAGGCAAGCGUAAGAGGAUUAAUUUGCUUUGUUUUGGG